rnacentral:rRNA from 1 species
AUUGAACGCUGGCGGCGUGCCUAACACAUGCAAGUCGAGCGGUAACAGGUGUAGCAAUACAUGCUGACGAGCGGCGAACGGGUGAGUAAUGCUUCGGAAUCUACCCAAUGGUGGGAAUAACCAGCCGAAAGGUUGGCUAAUACCGCAUACGUCCUACGGGAGAAAGCAGGGAUCGUAAGACCUUGCGCCAAUGGAUGAGCCGAAGUCGGAUUAGCUAGUUGGAGGGUAACGGCCGUACC